UGAGGAAUAUUAGUCAAUGGGCGCAAGCCUGAACCAGCCAUCCCGCGUGCAGGAUGACGGCCCUACGGGUUGUAAACUGCUUUUAUACAGGAAGAAAAAUUCCCGAUGUAUCGGGACUUGCCGGUACUGUAUGAAUAAGCAUCGGCUAACUCCGUGCCAGCAGCCGCGGUAAUACGGAGGAUGCAAGCGUUAUCCGGAUUCAUUGGGUUUAAAGGGUGCGUAGGCGGCUUUUUAAGUCAGUGGUGAAAUCCUGCCGCUUAACGGUAGAAUUGCCAUUGAUACUGAGGAGCUUGAGUUCAGUUGAGGUAAGCGGAAUGUGUAGUGUAGCGGUGAAAUGCUUAGAUAUUACACAGAAACACCUGAUUGCGAAGGCAGCUUACUAAACUGACACUGACGCUGAUGCACGAAAAGCGUGGGGAUCGAACAGGAUUAGAUACCCUGGUAGUCCACGCCGUAAAACGAUGAUCACUCGCUGUAUGCGAUAAUACCGUAUGCGGCCAAGCGAAAGCAUUAAGUGAUCCCACCUGGGGGAGUACNAUCGCAAGGUUGAAACUCAAAUGAAUUGACGGGGGUCAUANCUGUUUUCC
rnacentral:rRNA from 1 species